GGUUCGUGAUGAAGACAAAAGGCACGGAAGAAUGUUGCUGCCAUGCCCACCACAAGAAUUCAUCAAAUUGAAUGCCAUUGGCACUGGCGCAAAGGUAUUGUGAUGCACUGACUGGAAGAAUCGGUUCUCGGCAAGGCGCGCAAGAGGUUCAUCUGCCAAAAGAACAACCACAAAAAAGAGUCAGCCUCUUGAAUGGGACACCACAAGAGGAGCCAUUAAGACACGUCAGUCUC